rnacentral:tRNA from 1 species
UCCGGGGUAGUUGAGCUGGCACAACACCGCACUGUUAAUGCGGAUAUCGCAGGUUCGAAUCCUGCCCCCGGAGCCA